AAUAAACAUUACAUUAAUAAGCUUUAAUUGAUGAUUCAGAACAAUUAUCAUGGGAACUCGGAGGUUCCAGAACAAGGCGACACAGCCUGCAGUAGCUCCAAUUUUUCCCUUUAUCUGUUUCCCAAGCAACGGAACAUCGGUUCCUAGGGCAGCAAUCAAUAGAAGCUAUAUUAAGAUGUCAUCAUUUUUGUAAUCUGCAUGAAUAUGCAGCAAAAUCCGUCUCAUUCUCAUUCCUAUGCUUCUGAGGUCUAAAGGCCACCGAAAAAUUUAGAAUUCGACAGUUAUCCACAAUAUAGCUUUCUUUUUUAUUUCGUAAAACUCAUGUCUAUUGUGAAUGACAGUGAUCUUUAAACAAAUUGCCCAGUGAUAAUUGUUCUUUUGAUUAUUGUUAUACGUGGUUCGGGGACCAGUAGCUCUAUUAUCGAGUUUGACCAAUUCCAGUAACUUGUGUAUCGAUUGCGGAGGAAGAUGAAGGUACUGGGCGUCCUUCUCCUUUGUGGAUUUUUGGUUGUGUGUGUGAGUUCUAAUACUAGUAAUACCACUAAUCGUGAGGAUCAACCCACUACGAUGUCCUCUGUUUCAGAUCCCACAACUGUUCCUUCCGGCACGACUCCUACUAGUAGUUCGCCACAGAUGGUUCUACAAUCUGGCCUCGUUUUUAUUACGUUAUUGCCAUUAGCCCUCGUUCUAAGUAGGAUAUAACGUUGACAUUAUCAAAACACAAGGCAAUCAUGUUUUACAAUUAAUGUAUUAUAUUCAAUAUCUAUCUCCAAUGCUCAGUUAUUAUUAUGUUUUGAAUGGAGUGUUCAAUUUUGUUAGUUUUUACUACUUUUUAAGCAUUUAAUAAUUCUACUUUGCAUUAUAUAUCAAUUAAUAUCUUAUGUAUGAUUUGUAUACUCAUAUUAGAAUUUAUUAAAAAGCAAUUUUGUGAAAACACAUUCUGAUUAUACACCCAAGUACUCUGAAGUUUAUAUUAAAAUGAUGCUCGUGAAAAUGUC